GGAGUAAAAGUCGUAACAAGGUCUCCGUAGGUGAACCUGCGGAGGGAUCAUUACAGAGUUCAUGCCCUACCGGGUAGAUCUCCCACCCUAUGUUAUUAUUACUUUGUUGCUUUGGCGGGCCGUUAGGCUCCGGCCCGACUACCGGCCCCGGCUGGUAAGCGCCCGCCAGAGGACCCAAAACCCUGAAUAUUAGUGUCGUCUGAGUACUAUAUAAUAGUUAAAACUUUCAACAACGGAUCUCUUGGUUCUG
rnacentral:misc_RNA from 1 species